rnacentral:rRNA from 1 species
UACGUAGGUGGCAAGCGUUGUCCGGAUUUAUUGGGCGUAAAGCGAGCGCAGGCGGUUCCUUAAGUCUGAUGUGAAAGCCCACGGCUCAACCGUGGAAGGUCAUUGGAAACUGGGGAACUUGAGUGCAGAAGAGGAGAGUGGAAUUCCAUGUGUAGCGGUGAAAUGCGUAGAUAUAUGGAGGAGCACCAGUGGCGAAGGCGACUCUCUGGUCUGUAACUGACGCUGAGGCUCGAAAGCGUGGGGAGCAAACAGGAUUA